UAUUGCACAAUGGAGGGAACUCUGAUGCAGCGACGCCGCGUGAGGGAAGAAGGUUUUCGGAUUGUAAACCUCUGUCUUCGGUGACGAAACGAGACGGUAGCCGAGGAGGAAGCCACGGCUAACUACGUGCCAGCAGCCGCGGUAAUACGUAGGUGGCAGGCGUUGUCCGGAAUUACUGGGUGUAAAGGGAGCGUAGGCGGGAAAGCAAGGUGAAUGUUUAAGGUAUGGGCUCAACCUGUACAAGCGUUCAAAACUGUUUUUCUUGAGUGGAGUAGAGGUAAGCGGAAUUCCUAGUGUAGCGGUGAAAUGCGUAAAUAUUAGGAGGAACACCAGUGGCGAAGGCGGCUUACUGGGCUUUAACUGACGCUGAGGCUCGAAGGCGUGGGUAGCAAACAGG
rnacentral:rRNA from 1 species